GAAUUCGCCCUUAGAGUUUGAUCCUGGCUCAGGACGAACGCUGGCGGCGUGCCUAACACAUGCAAGUCGAGCGGAGACAGUGAGUAGCUUGCUAUGAGCUGUUUUAGCGGCGGACGGGUGAGUAACGCGUGAGCAACCUUUCCCAGACAGGGGAAUAACACACCGAAAGGUGUACUAAUACCGCAUAAGACCACGGGAUCACAUGGUUCUGGGGUAAAAGAAUUAUCGGUUUGGGGUGGGCUCGCGUCCGAUUAGGUAGUUGGUGAGGUAACGGCCCACCAAGCCGACGAUCGGUAGCCGACCUGAGAGGGUGAUCGGCCACAUUGGGACUGAGACACGGCCCAAACUCCUACGGGAGGCAGCAGUGGGGAAUAUUGGGCAAUGGAGGAAACUCUGACCCAGCAACGCCGCGUGGAGGAAGAAGGUUUUCGGAUCGUAAACUCCUGUCCUUGGAGACGAGUAGAAGACGGUAUCCAAGGAGGAAGCCCCGGCUAACUACGUGCCAGCAGCCGCGGUAAUACGUAGGGGGCAAGCGUUGUCCGGAAUAAUUGGGCGUAAAGGGCGCGUAGGCGGCUCGGUAAGUCUGGAGUGAAAGUCCUGCUUUUAAGGUGGGAAUUGCUUUGGAUACUGUCGGGCUUGAGUGCAGGAGAGGUUAGUGGAAUUCCCAGUGUAGCGGUGAAAUGCGUAGAGAUUGGGAGGAACACCAGUGGCGAAGGCGACUAACUGGACUGUAACUGACGCUGAGGCGCGAAAGUGUGGGGAGCAAACAGGAUUAGAUACCCUGGUAGUCCACACUGUAAACGAUGAAUGC
rnacentral:rRNA from 1 species